UUGACUUACUUUUUAUCCAUUAUAGUACCCCUUUUUUGUAAAAAUUUUGUAGACGAAAACUACAGCGACUCAGAAAUAGCAAUAGAAUGAUGAGAGAUUGAAAACCGUUCACAGUCGCUAACUGAGCGACUAAUCGACACUCAUAAUAGCAUCGAUAACACUAUGUAACAAGGUUUUUGUCCCUGGGUUGUAAUUGUUAUUUCCUAGUCAGUUAGGUCCCAAAAGUAUAGAAAACAGCUAUUGUCGCAAGAUAACUUUGCUUUUGCGAAAGUUACAGCCGGUAUCUUCGUUGGACCACAAAUAAAGAAAAUCUUCGAGUCUGAGGAAUUCCCCAAGAAGCUCACUCGUGUUGAGAAAGCUGCUUGGAUGAGUUUUAUGUCAGUGGUACAGGGAUUCCUAGGCAAUCACAAAGCCGCAAACUACGUGGAGCUGGUCGAAAGUCUGGUGGAGAACUACGGCAAAAUGGGCUGCAGGAUGUCUCUCAAACUCCAUAUUCUGGAUGCACAUCUUGACAAAUUCAAGGAGAACAUGGGAGCAUAUUCAGAGGAGCAAGGCGAGCGCUUCCAUCAGGAUAUAAUGGAAUUUGAGCGGCGAUACCAAGGACAAUACAAUGAGAACAUGAUGGGAGAUUACAUUUGGGGAUUGAUUAGAGAAAGUGACUCGCAGUUUAAACGCAAAUGUCGAAAAACCACCCGCUUCUGAUUUACUUUUAUGUUUUUGGUUUUCUGAAGUUUUAAUAAAAUUUAGUUUUGAUUUA